rnacentral:rRNA from 1 species
AUACGUAGGGUGCGAGCGUUAAUCGGAAUUACUGGGCGUAAAGCGUGCGCAGGCGGUUAUAUAAGACAGAUGUGAAAUCCCCGGGCUCAACCUGGGAACUGCAUAUGUGACUGUAUAGCUAGAGUACGGUAGAGGGGGAUGGAAUUCCGCGUGUAGCAGUGAAAUGCGUAGAUAUGCGGAGGAACACCGAUGGCGAAGGCAAUCCCCUGGACCUGUACUGACGCUCAUGCACGAAAGCGUGGGGAGCAAACAGGAUUAGAUACCCCUGGUAGUCCACGCCCUAAACGAUGUCAACUGGUUGUUGGGUAUUUACUUACUUCAGUAACGAAGCUAACGCGUGAAGUUGACCGCCUGGGGGAGUACCGGCCGCAAGGGUUGAAACUUCAAAAGGGAAUUUGACCGGGGGACCCCGCACAAGCCGGUGGAUGAUUGUGGGUUUAAAUUUCGAUGCCAACCGCGAAAAAAACCUUACCCCACCUUUGACAUUGUACCGGAAGAAGUCC